CACGGCAGCAAAUCACACAGCGCUGACACAUUUAGUGCUUGUCUUCCCUAGUUCACAUAAGGGGAAGAGCUUUGCAUCCCCAUUUCUGAGAGAAUGAGGUGCAGCAUGCACUGCGUCUAAGGAAGAGGUUGGGUUUGCCAAGAGCACCAGAUGAGACAUUGAUGAAAUCCUGGGAGCGCCUGUGUACUUCUGGUGGUGUGGAUUGUAAAUCACAUCAACAUCGGAACUGUUUGAUGAUUGCUAGUCUGGGGAGGGGCAGGAAGAAAUGAAUAGAAGGUUGGUACAAACCAGUGAUAUUAAUGAUUGCAAUGAAAAGGAGAAAAAAAAAUCUG
rnacentral:lncRNA from 1 species